AACAAACAUUUAUGUAGACAUAUUAAAAGAAAAUAUAAUAAAAAUCAAAAUAUUAUCCAUAAAUAAUAUAAAUUAUGAAGUAUAUUUCACGAUAAAGAAAGCAAAUUCAAUUAGAAACUUGCAAAAAAAAAAAAAUUGUAAGCAAUUUGACGGGUUAACAUUAUUUGAUAGAUUUCUAAAUUUCUAAAUUUUAUUGAACAUGAAAUAAUAUUAAAUUGACAUACCGUCAUCAAUCUCCUAACUCAUCACAACCCAUCUAGCAAAUACAAAAAAUAAAUAAUUGCAACA
rnacentral:lncRNA from 1 species